GCUAGUGUAGCUCAGCUGGUAGAGCAGCUGAUUUGUAAUCAGCAGGUCGGGGGUUCAAGUCCGUCCACUAGCUCCA
rnacentral:tRNA from 1 species